AUUUAAAAAUGUUAAGGAACCCAAUUUGUCCAAUCAUCUUUAACUCUUGCUGUAUAAACCAACCUAUAGAAAAAAAUAACAUAAAAAUAGUUACUAAUAAAGUUGUGUUGGAAUCUUGCAGAGCUCUCUCACCAGCUGCAAACUAAACAACAGACAAAGUUACAACUACUGUAAAGAAAAGGAGCGUCUCGUCGUUAUAUGGAUAAGAAACAAUCUGGAAAGGAGGCUGCUGAGGAACUGACUCGGGAGUCACUAAUUGCCAUCUCUUACUCUGUACCGGAUACGGAUAAUUCUGAGGAACCUUCCUACCCCAACAAAGGCAGUGACAACGAGAUUGCAGAUCUUAAGGAUGAAAAAACUGAAAAUAUUAUAUCUGAGUUAAUCUCAAUUUCCUAUGCAGAAUUGCCUGAGAUUAACACCCCACCAGUUUGUCCUGAAGGACCCAAAGCUUGAGAGCUUAGCCUUGCAUCAGUUAUCUAACUUAUGGUUGCUAUAUGUAUACACAGAACACACAAGUGUAUGAUGUUUUUUCUGCUUAAAGAUAAUAUGUUAUGCUGACCUAGAUUUAUGUUCUGUAUGUGGAUAAUGCGAAUUGUGCUUCUCCCGGAAUUAAUACAUUAGAAGACCUUUUAAUUUUAAA